rnacentral:rRNA from 1 species
CACGGGUGCGUAACGCGUAGCCAACCUACCCGAAUCUGGGGGAUAGCCCGCCGAAAGGCGGAUUAAUACCGCAUAAAACUGCAGAACGGCAUCGUGUAACAGUUAAAGAUUUAUUGGAUUCGGAUGGGGCUGCGUGCCAUUAGCUGGUUGGGGAGGUAACGGCUCACCAAGGCGACGAUGGCUAGGGGAGCUGAGAGGCUGGUCCCCCACACGGGCACUGAGAUACGGGCCCGACUCCUACGGGAGGCAGCAGUAGGGAAUAUUGGGCAAUGGUCGAGAGACUGACCCAGCCAUGCCGCGUGCAGGAUGAAGGCUUUCUGAGUCGUAAACUGCUUUUGCCAGGGAAGAAAAAAGCGGAUGCGUCCGCUACUGACGGUACCUGGUGAAUAAGCACCGGCUAACUCCGUGCCAGCAGCCGCGGUAAUACGGAGGGUGCAAGCGUUGUCCGGAUUUAUUGGGUUUAAAGGGUGCGUAGGCGGUUCUUUAAGUCUGGGGUGAAAGCCCGUUGCUCAACAACGGAACUGCCCUGGAAACUGGAGGACUUGAGUACAGACGAGGGUGGCGGAAUGGAUGCUGUAGCGGUGAAAUGCAUAGAUAGCAUCCAGAACCCCGAUUGCGAAGGCAGCUGCCUAGACUGUAACUGACGCUGAGGCACGAAAGCGUGGGGAGCG